rnacentral:tRNA from 1 species
AUUAAAUAGCUUAUAGAUUAAAGCAUUUGUUUUGAAAACUUAAAAAAGAAAUAUAUUUCUAUUAAUUUU